rnacentral:tRNA from 1 species
AGGGGCGUAGCUCAAUUGGUUAGAGUAUCGGUUUCCAAAACCGAGGGUUCAGAGUUCGAGUCUCUGCGCCCCUGCCA